ACGCCUUUCCCCUGCAGGCGGGGGUGUGGGCGCCCGCGGCGUCUGUCUGCGCCUUCCAGCAGCCCCAACAUCAAAGGAGGUUAAGUUCGCCCCCCCCCCCGCGACACCGUGGCAGCAGAUGGCAGGCUCUGUCUGGCAGUCCCACUGACGUCGCAGAAGGUAGAGACGCCUGAAUCGCCAGGGAAGCUGUUUCCUCACAGCUCCAUUUAUUCCUUUUGUCCGCUCCACUUAAGAACUAGACGACUAAACUUGUAAACUGAAACGUAUGUUCCGCUGCGUGGCUUAAUAGAGCAGUCGGAGGAGGAAGAACAUCCAUACUCCAUCUCUGUGACGGCAAGAUACACUUCAGAAUGCUGGGGGAAAAAAAAAGCAGCGACUGCCGAGGGCAUUUAGAUAACGGAGACGGGAGCUCAGAGCCUCAUCCUGUAAACAUCACCGAGACGAUGCCACUGCAAGGAGUCAGUUUGAAGUCAACCCCAUUAACAGUAGUCAUUGUUCAAACUGGAGCAGAUCCACAACGCUUACUUCAGAGCCUAAAGCUACUUUCAUCCCUUGCAAUACUGGCUUCAGUCACACACAAAAAAUCAAUCGGCGUGCCAGUUCAUUCACCUUGCAGGGUUGCUGUGUUUAAGGGUGCUCAGAUGCAUCCGAUGUGAUAUACAAGGGUGCUGGCCUGUGUCAGGAAUGUCCCGAGUAGAAGUUGUGCAUGUUUCUAGCAACCUAAGAGCGAGUGUCAUCAAAAUAAACUUGAAGAAAUUGUUGGCCGUCAUCACUGGCAUAGCAGACAGGAACUGUGCCUAGAAAUAGAGAUUGGCAUAGCAACACUGCUGACUGUUUUGUAGAGAAGGCGGCUUAUUUUUCCAGACCGCGACAUUUAAUAAACAUUUUCUGUUUGUUGAAACUGCGGAACCUCACUAGAUCAAACUGAAUGCUAAUCUGCUUGAGUCGCCACCACAGACUUUUGUCUCCAGUAUGUACACAUCACGAGUCACUGUGGUUUCAUUGGUUUUGUCCUAUGACAUUUGUUCUUUUGUGUUUGUCCACGAAAACUAGACAGAACAUGGAACGCAUUGAAACAGCCCCACAAAUCCUCCAGACGAUGAUUUAUUUUGCGAGAUCCUGUUUUAUCUUGUCAUUAGGGCUCUGUUAAGCUGCAGGCUGAGAGGCCCUUUGAUGCAACCUCUGACUAGCAAUCUGCUAGGGGGUCGAUAGGCACCAGCGCAGCUGCCAGCUGUUCACGUAUUCGCCGCCUUCCACCCGAAGCGUCGGGCCUUGGAUUCACACUCCACACA